rnacentral:rRNA from 1 species
CGCAGGUGGGAAUGUAAGUCUUUCUUAAAAGUGCGGGGCUCAACCCCGUGAUGGGAAAGAAACUAUAUUUCUUGAGUGCAGGAGAGGAAAGCGGAAUUCCUAGUGUAGCGGUGAAAUGCGUAGAUAUUAGGAGGAACACCAGUGGCGAAGGCGGCUUUCUGGACUGUAACUGACACUGAGGCUCGAAAGCCAGGGGAGCGAAG